rnacentral:rRNA from 1 species
UUGGAGGGCAAGUCUGGUGCCAGCAGCCGCGGUAAUUCCAGCUCCAAUAGCGUAUAUUAAAGUUGUUGCAGUUAAAAAGCUCGUAGUUGAAUUUCGGGGUUCUACCGUUGGUCGGGCAAUAGUCUGUACUGGCGUGUAGAAUUUCUACCUUCUGGGGAACUAUCAUGUUAUUUAUUUAGCGUGGUAGGAAACCAGGACCUUUACCUUGAAAAAAUUAGAGUGUUCAAAGCAGGCUUACGUCUGAAUACAUUAGCAUGGAAUAAUAAAAUAGGACGGUGGUCCUGUUUUGUUGGUUUCUGAAUCACCGUAAUGAUUAAUAGGGAUAGUUGGGGGCAUUAGUAUUCAAUUGUCAGAGGUGAAAUUCUUGGAUUUAUUGAAGACUAACUUCUGCGAAAGCAUUUGCCAAGGAUGUUUUCAUUAAUCAAGAACGAAAGUUAGGGGAUCGAAGACGAUCAGAUACCGUCGUAGUCUUAACCAUAAACUAUGCCGACUAGGGAUCGGACGAUGUUAAUUUUUCUUGACUCGUUCGGCACCUUACGGGAAAC